GUGCUCACUUCAGCAGCACAUAUACUAAAAUUGGAAUGACAUAGAAAAGAUUAGUAUGGCCCCUGCACAAAGCUGACAUGCAAAUUUGUGAAGCCUUCCAUAUUUUU
ensembl:snRNA U6 U6 spliceosomal RNA